AGUGCCUCAUCAUCCUCACAGUAAAGAAAAUUUCUCUACUAUCUUUCGAUUUGAAGCCAUUUCCCCUUGUUCUGUUGCUCCUCAACCUUGUGGUCUCCCUUGUCUUCCCCGCCAUGUGCAAUUCAUCUGCAUCCAGCCUGUGGGAUUCUGGAGCCAGAAAACAGGUGCAGGUUAAUUUGGGGAUACAUCCUGGAGGUAACCUAGCAGUUUGGUACCGCAGCUUGGUAACAUGGGCCAAAGGAUAGUUAAACAAGCAUCAAUUUUAAAGAUGGUUUGACGUGCCUAGAUUUGAGAGGAAAGAUAAUUUCUGCUCUGUAAUCACUGCUAUGCUGUGCUGGGUUGCUGGGCAGCUGGAAAGGGGCAGAUACAGUAUAUGGGCACUGCCGUAUAAACCCAAACCGCAUAUCCCAGCUCAAGCCCUGUGUCCCUUUUUAAACUCUACAGUUUUGCCUAAAAAACUAACACAUUUUUCUCAGGAAAAGUGUGUUUUCCAUUUCAGUAAUUCCCACAUAGUGUUAAUGGGCACAGGGUAGUAGUCUCGCUAUGCUUGGUUUGCUGUGGAGAAAGUUGUCAAGGGUUUAGAAACUAUGGGCUGGGUGUGUUUAAGCAUUUGUAUUUAACGUGGGUGAAAUGUAUUUCCCUCUACCUCCUCCCCCUGGAAAUCCUGGCAUUUACAGGGUCACUAAAAUAAAAGAAUUCCCAUUCAGAAUGUGUUUCCCUCUCUCACCACGUAUGGUGGUCAAACAAUGAUAUUAAGGUUUAAAAGACAUAGCCAUGGAUGGUGCCAGACUCUUUCUGGUGGUGGCCUGCAACAGGGCGAGGAGCAGUGGCGAUAAACUAAAACCAAGAAGUUUCACCUCAACAUGCAGAAGAACUUCUUUACCUUAAGGGUGGCAGAGCACUGGAACAGCCUGCCCGGGGAGGUCAUGGAGUCUCCCUCUUUGGAGACAUUCCAGACCCACUUGGACACACUCCUGUGUAAUUUGCUGUAGGUGACCCUGUCUUGGGGGGGGGGGGGGGGGGGAGGGUCUGGACUAGAUCAUCUCCAGAGGUCCCUUCCAACCUAAGAAAUCUGGGAUUAUGGAAUUCUGUGUGAAUUAUAAAGACUUGCAGUGAUAAAAGCUUUAUCUUUAAAGAAGAUUUGACUACGCUGUAUGAGGCUGGAGGUGAUUGUUUGUACUAAUAAGCCACAGUGGCUGGAUGUCUCUGGCAAAGUUUUGUUUGAUUCCUCUACAAGUUCCUUCAGAGACUGGUGUUUUUCAGCCUUGGUUUCAGCUUAAAAAUACCUUUGGUUUGUGGUGCCAUUGCUCUGAGUACACUUGGAGGGAGACUGCAAAACCAGCUCGAUAACCAAUGGUAGAGCCAGGUGUGAACUGAGGGUAAGGCAAAUCCUGUGUUUUAUGGAGGUAGACACUGUUUUGAUCAAUAAUUGGGCAACUCAUCAAGUUGCUUAUCUCGCAGUUUCUCGUUCUGAGACAAAGCAAUGAACUCUUUAAAAUCAUUACAUGGUUUAUUUGUCAGUGCAGCAGUUAAAUCCCAUUGUAUAAAAGUAAAGAGGUAUGAAAUAGAAGUUACAGCUGAAAAGACAAAAUCAUUAUAUAAAAAUGUUGUAUUCUGACAUGAAACUUAAAGGGAGAUAGUGCAAGAUAUUCCUAAUACUUAGGUUAAAAUAUAAAAAAGCUCUUAAUGUAUGCCUGAAAGCCAUUUUCUAUG